rnacentral:lncRNA from 1 species
GCUCCUUCCUGCUGGCUAGAGCUCUCCUUCCUCUGUGGAUCCUGUGGAGCUGAAGAGAAAGGGAGCUCUUCCCUCUAGGGUGCCUUGGGAAGACAUUCCCAGAGGGUUUUUCUGGUAAAUCUUUGUUCUCUCUCUACUUCCCCAGGUUUGCAGUCAAAGUCAUUUGGAUACUGUGACCAGGGAUCUUGCCUAGGAGUCUGUACACUGAAUGCCCAUCUACAGGGGAUCCUGGCAAAUGACUUUGGAGUGUUUCACUUAUGAGCAAAAAGAGCAAAGAUGCUCAGUCUUUGAAGAUGGGAAGAAUUAAAACUUCAACUUGGUUUAACCAGCGUCUGUCCUCAGGGGGUCACCGAGUCUGAGCAGUGUCUCACAUACAGGACAAGGCUGCCCACGGCCUCCUCCCUGCCCACGGAUGCGCUUCCUGGUGGAUGCCCCAUCAGCUGUUAGGUUGAGGGCAGAGAGAAGAACAGGUCCAAAACUACAGGAUGUGGACACCCAGAGGAUCCGGGAGGGACAACAGCUGGGACAGUGAGCCUUGGACAGAGGACACUGACUAUGGAUUUUUUAUGUGAUCCUCCUGAGGGACCCUCAGGGACAGACCAAAACCCCAGUCUCUGUGUGUCUUGAGGGCCCAGGUCCUUCCAGGUCCUCCUUUUGUCACUGCUCUGGGCCCCGGGCCUCCUCCUCCUGUGAGUCACAAUGGACACUCUCCUCUUCAGGGUGCACCCUCCUUACCACACCUGACCCCACACCGUCCCCUCAUUCCCCCAUAAACCAUCCCCUGCUCACUUCCAUUAGCAUUUUUGCAUCCUACUGAGAUCACAGCCUCCCAAGGAUGGCUCUGCAGGAUUUCCAUGUUGCAGAGAGCUCAGCCCCUUGACAGGACAGCUGGGCCUGGGCCACCCAAGGCUAAGCAUCUCUCUUGCUUCUCUUCUACACCAGCUCUAGGCCAAGCCAGAUCCAGACCUUUCAGAAGGCUGAUCCCACCUUUUCUUAAGCAUCAGACUACCUCUCUCACAUCUGUGGGUCACACAGGCUGGAUUCGCCUUUCUUGUUAUCACUCCCACAGUUUCAGAGCUCAGCAAAUGGCCAGCAUACCUGUUCAAAAAGGAGGGGACACCUGUGGGACCAGGCCGAAGGCUCCUGGACUUCUGGGUCACACUGCCUAGAUUCUUUCUUUU